rnacentral:lncRNA from 1 species
AGUUUCGCGGGAAGCUUUGUGCGGGCAGCGGCGCCGCGCCUAGAGGGGCAGUGCGGAGUGUGGCUGGGGACUCGCGCCGGGUCCGUGGAGCUCUGCGAGCUGGCUGCUUUUCGCCUCCCUUGCGGUAGCCUCCGUAAGCUGUUUCCCGCCGCCGUCCUGGCCCCGAGCGCGGAAGGAGGAGGUGGACGGAGCUCGUGCGGGGCCCUCUGGGCGGGCGGGGAGCGGGCGAGGCGGGCUAGGAAGAGGCCGUUGCCGCGGGACGCGGGUGUUUCUGGAGAGACAGCGGACGCCCGGCCCACGCGACCCGGAGGGCGCGGCCUCCCGCGCAGCCUUCUCCGAGCCGCCGGCUCUUCAGCCUCGGGGGCGGCUGACCUCCAGAGCAGCCUGGUCCAAGGCGUCUGGAAACGGAACUCCAGUGAGGCCCAUUAGGCUCCGCGGGAAAGCCGAGACCCGCUCAGGGAGGGACUGGGUACGCCGUGGUGGGCAGCGUGGCUCCCCUGCAGCCUGGAGCGAACGGGGCUAGGUCCUGCGUCCUGCUCCGCCGGUGUCCAGUCGCCCGUGAGGAGGCCUCACCCUGCCUCAAGGGCGACUCCUGCACCUGAGGAGCUGCACAGGCUCCUUUCUGGCUUGCUGGGUUCCGUUUUCUUUUCUUGCUUUUUUUUUUUUUUUUUUUGAGUCAGAGUUUUGCUCUGUCACCCAGGCUAGAGUGCAGUGGCACGAUCUCGGCUCACUGCAGCCUCUGCCUCUCGGGUUCAAGCGACUCUCCUGCCUCAGCCUCCCGAGUAGCUGGGACUACAGGCACGCGCCACCAUGUCCGGCUAAUUUUUGUAUUUUUAGUAGAAGUGAGGUUUUUCCAUAUUGGCCAGGAUGGUCUCGAACUCCCAACCUGAGGUGAUCGGCCCACCUCGGCCUCCCAAAGUGCUGGGAUUACAGGCAUGAGCCACCGUGCCCCAGCCUGCAAAGGGUGUACAUGAGUGAGCCCAGACGUUCCAUCUCUGGGUCCCCUGGUACUUGCCAGUACCCCAGACACCCUAGAGGACUGAAGGGGCUGAUGAGUCCUGGCCUGCCUGAGACACACAUUGGGGUUCAGGCUGGGCCUUGCUCAAAACAUGCCUGUCCGACCGCGCGCGGUGGCUCAUGCCUGUAAUCCUAGCACUUUGGGAGGCCGAGGCGGGCAGAUCACGAGGUCAGGAGCUGGAGACCAUCCUGGCUAACACGGUGAAACCCCACCUCUACUAAAAAUACAAAAAAAAAAGCCGGGCGUGGUGGCGGGUGCCUGUAGUCCCAGCUACUUGGGAGGCUGAGGCAAGAGAAUGGCUUGAACCCGGGAGGCAGAGCUUGCAGUGAGCCGAGAUCGUGCCACUGCACUCCAGGUUGGGCGACAGAGCGAGACUCCGUCUCAAAAAAAAAAAAAAAAGUACCUGCCCUACCAAUCUCAACCUCAUGGAGUUGCAAGGGUGUGAUGAGAUUAUGAGCAACUGCUUUGUGAAAAGAAGUGGAGCUUGGUGGGUGCUCCCUAGGGUAGUUGAAAAGCACUGGUGUCAUAGUCCAGGUUCCCCCAGAGGUUGACUUGAAAUGGAUUCGAGUCCAAAUUUUGUCCGGGCCUGGUGGCUCAUACCUGUAAUCCCAGCACUUUGGGAGGCCGAGGCAAGUGGAUCACCUGAGGUCAGGAGUUCAAGACCAGCUUGGCCAACAGGGUGAAAUCCCGUUUCUACUAAAAAUACAAAAAUUAGCGGAUGUGGUGGCACACACUUGUAUUCCCAGCUACUUGGGAGGCUGAGGCAGGAACAUCGCGUGAACCCAGGAGGCAGAGGUUGCAGUGAGCCAAGAUUGUGCCACCACACUCCAGUCUGGGCAACAGAGUGAAACUCCGUCAAAAAAAAAAAAAAGUCCAAAUUGUUAGCUUGAGAGAAGACCCCAGGAGACACCAGCAGGAGAGUAGGGGUGUGAGGCAGGGAAGGGGGUGCUACCAGUCCAGUUACUGUAGCAGGCGCUUGUGUAGGAACCAUCCUCAGAGUCCCUCCCCGAGGGCCAGGGGAGCCAAGGCAUUCACCCUUCACCCUGCUGCAAGGGGACCCAGCAUUCACCUCUCACCUUGCAGUCAUUGGUUGGAGGCUGUUCCUGGCAAGGUGACUUCUUGGCUCCAAAGCCGAGAAAGACCUGCAGGUGUUGACACAGCGCAGUGCUGCGGGCAGUGCCCAGCUGGCUUGGGAACUCAUACCUGGUCCACCACAAGCCGGCUGCUUUAUCUACACAUUCUACCCAAGUAUGAAUGUGGCACCCCUGCCUCUGUGUCCUGCGAGGGUGGAAUUAUGUAACGCUGGGGCGGUGCUUCCUCUCACUGCAGCUUCCCUCUCCCAGGGGCAGGCACCUUAAAAAGAAGCCCUUGACUCCCCCAUCCCUUUCCAGCCACUGCCUCAUUUUCCUACUUCCCAUCCCAGCAAGAGUUUUUAACAGGUUGUCUGUACUUGGCGUCUCCUCUUAUCUCCUAGUUAAUUCGUUUUCUAUCACUUUAUAACAACCAACCACAAAAGAGCACCCAUUAUCUCACGGUUCUGUGCAUUAGAAGUGCAGGUGGGUUUGACUGGCUUCUCUGCUGCAGGUCUCAGGGCUGAAAUCAGGGUGUCAGCUGCCUCAGCUCUUAGCAGGGGCCCUAGGGGAGACCCGGGCUACAGGCUCCUUCAGGUUGUUGACAUUCAUCACAUGGUUGUAUGAGGUCUCCGCUUGCUGGCUGCCGGCCCGGGGUUGUUCUCAGCUUCUAGAGGUCGCUCACAUCUUCAAAACCAGCAAGACUUUCUUUUCUUUUUAGACAGAGUCUGGCUUCGUCAUCCAGGCCGGAGUGCAGUGGUACAAUCUCGGGUCGCUGCCACCUCCGCCUCCCGGGUUCAAGAGAAUCGCUUGAGUCCAGGAGGUGGAGGUUGCAGUGAGCCGAGAUUGCGCCAUUGCACCCCAGCCUGGGCGACAGAGCGAGACUCAGUCUCAAAAAAAAAAAAAAAAAAAAAAAAAGCUGUGGUACAUAUACACCAUGGAAUACUAUGCAGCUAUAAAAAAAUGAGAGCAUGUCUUUUGUGGGAACAUGGAUGGAGCUGGAGGCGAUCAUCCUUAGCAAACUAACACAGGAACAGAAAACCAAAUACCACAUGUUCUCACUUACAUGUGGGAGCUAAAUGAUGAGAGCUUAUGAACACGAAGAAGAAAAUAAUACUGGGCUUAAUGCCUGGAUGAUGAGAUAAUAUGUACAACAAACCUGGUGACAGGUGUUUACCUAUGUAACAAACCUCACAUAUCCCCAAACCUAAAGUAAAAGUUUAAAGUUAGGCCGGGUGUGGUGGCUCACACCUGUAAUCCCAGCACUUUGGGAGGCCGAGGUGGGUGGAUCACCUGAGGUCAGGAGUUCAAGACCAGUCUGGCCAACAUGGCAGAAACCUGUUUGUAAACCUCUACUAAAAAAACAAAAAUUAGGGCCAGGGCGGUGACUCACACCUGUAAUCCCAGCACUUUGGGAGGCCGAGGAGGGCGGAUCACCUGAGGUCAGGAGUUCGAGACCAGCUUGACCAACAUGGAGACACCCCAUCUCUACUAAAAAUACAAAAAUUAACCAGGUGUGCUGGCAGGCACCUGUAAUCCCAGCUACUUGGGAGGCUGCAGCAUGAGAAUCCCUUGAACCCAGAAGUUGCAGUGAGCCAAGAUCAUGCCACUGCACUCCAGCCUGGGCGACAG